GCAUACCUCCAGACUUCUUCUGCAGUGACCUCAGUGCACAGUCCAAGCCCGCGUGCCUGGCAGUUGGUGCCACCCUGCGCUAAUGGGUGCCAUAGCACGCCUGGCUAAGCAGAGCUUGGACUGGCUGAGCACCGCUAGCUGUCCACUGCCACCUUUUCUAGGAGAAAAAGAAAUCUAUUACUGCUGUGCCUGUUCUGCUCCUGGACACAGAGCCAGCAAUUACCAUUCACCAGGUGGCCCUAAGCUUUUCCUUGGCUUUGGGGGCAGAAGCAAGUGACUGAAGUGCUAAGCUCAUUAAAUCCACCCCAUGUGGGACAGGUACGUCAUGGGUUUUUUCUACUUACUUUCAGGGGACAAAUAGCUACCCCCCGCCCUCACUGUGCUCAGAUGGAAUUAAGAAGCUCAUGGCCCUGCACACAGGUGAUUUCCUGGACUCUUGAACAUCCUGACUACGGUUGCCGAGGUGACUGUGCAGCGGGACUCCUGGCCACGUUCGUGGUGCCCUCUGCCUGCUGGUAGGAGAUUCCCUCUAAAUGGCCGUGAUUUCAACUCCGAGGACUAGAGGAACCUUGCAGAGAGUUCUGAUCCAUGUGUGAAGAUGAAAAAGCACUAUAAUUCCUUCCAUGUCCUCUUGCAACUAUUUAGAGACUGUUGGAAGACCUUGUAUGGACAUAAACCUUCCUGGAAAGAGGCGGCUACAUCACCCCUCACCUGCACCCCAGCUUGGCUGUAUCCGAGGAUGACUGUCUCUAGAGAAGGGGAUGGGGUGUGAGGUCCCAAGGGUUCCAUCAUUGGCCUUGCAUCCUGACCACCUCAGACAAGCCCCCACCACCUGAGCCUCAGUCCUCAUCCAUGAAAGAAAUGUACACGGUGAAAUUUCUUCUUCCUACUUCAGAGAAAUGGUCUGUUCUGCCCGGGAGACCCAGCCUGAUGGGGAGGAUGUGGAAAGUGAUCAGAGCCAGCACUUGCUCCUUAAUUCCGCCUGCUGUGUUGCUCCCCGAAUGACACCAGGAACCAGCCCACAAACAAGCCACUCCAGAGCACUCAACCUCUGAAGAACAGCCCUCGACCACUCACCUAAGAAGCAAAGCAUUUGGUGGGUAGCUGUGACCAGACUGGCUGGCAGCGCUAAUUAAAACAUUCAGCCCACGCAUAUGUAAAUCCAGAAACAGCAUGCCAGGGAAGAUAACUCCUGAUCCGAACUCAUCCCCAGAGCUUUGCCCAAACCCAGCUGUUUAGAAGCAAUCUGCAGCAUGGCCACUUGAUAAAAUUAUUUCUGUUUGGCCUUUGAAGAAUCCCUUCUUUCUUGGUCUGGCUUUUGGCCAUGCUCCUGGUCAGUUGUGAGCAACUAGUCAGGCGACUGCCUGUCUUGUCACGGAGUAUGUAUGGAGAAGAGAGGAAAACUGGAAAUCUGGUACAUGUACGCCAGUGCAGCCUCAUGGAACCCACACAGCUCUCUGCAGCUGGACACAGACUGGGCCAGAACCAUCCAAAGUGCCCUCUGGAAGUGCCCGUGGGGCUUUUCCAUCGCAGAGUCAGAAGUGGAGGAGCUCCCCUCUGCACACAGGGCUCCAGCUGUCCUGCUGUCUUCAGGCUUCUUCAGUCAAUGGGAACAUCCUCCAUUCUUUUUAGCUGCACGGGCACGGUCAGAGUUUUCAGGGGCUGGGAAGACCAGAAAUCCCUCCUGUUCCUGGAGAGAGAAGGCAUGACUUGAUGACCCUCUAAGAAGGGUCUUGCUUUAUAUGUGCUUCUUUCUAGAUUCUCAAUUGCUAUCAUUCUAACCUCAGCCUUCAUCAUCUGUGUUCAAGGAAGUCAGCAGAGGAUCAGCAAAUAAUGGGACUCCAUGGGUUUUAUUCAAUAGUUGUAAUUCAUUUAACCAAUAUUUAUGAGGCGACCACUAUGUCCCAGUCCUUCUGCUAGAUGCCAGGAAUACAAAAAUGAAUAAGCCUUAAACUCUGGCUUUCAAGAUUCUGAAUCUAGUUAGAGAUUCACCUUCAUAAAAGCAGUAUGAGGUAGGUAUUAUUGAUCCCGUUUUACAGAAGGGGACAUCAAGCCAAAAAGUGAUUCAAUGUACAUCUUAAGGUCAUCCAGCUCCUAAGUUAGAAAGUAAGGAUGCAGGCUGCACAAGUUGGUGUAUCUGGGAGGAGAAAUCCGAGUGAGCGACUUAUUCCAAGAAUGUGCCAGAGGUCUCCAUCCCACCUCUUAGAGGGGACAGUCUGGUCUGUGAAAUCCCCCUGCUUCUGGUGGGGGAGGGGGAAAAUGAUCCAUACUCCAGACCUGAAAUCUCAAAACAGCUCUGCAGAGAGGAGAUAACUAUAAACAGGCAUAGGGUGAAGUAACUCAGCAAAGGCAUAAUGAAGCCUAUUCUCCGAGGCUAUGGUGGGAAGCCCUGCUCUGCUCACCUCUCUGAUAAGUGCUCACUGAUAACUACCUAUUACCUCUCAGAAUCACAGGCAGUAAUUACUAGACAGGAAUUUAGUCUGAAAGGUGAGAUGAGCGAGAUUGGAGCUGGUUUGCCUUGCCUCUCUCUCCAUGGUUCAUGUUGUGGACACAAUGGUGUGCAUCCUUUUUCAUCUAAAGGAUAUGGAAUGAUUUUGGGAAUUCUAGGAGCCUUGUGUCCGAUUGCUGAAAAGUCUCAAACACCAACAUUCAGUGCUAAUACUGACCUAUUCCAGAUGCCUUUACAAACAACCAAAGUAAGAUAUUAAACAAAUUCGAUCUAAUUCCUCCAUUGCCUCAUUAGAAAAGAGCCAUUUUGAGGGUCCCAGUCCCAGACCUUCAACCCAUCCUAACCCGGUCCCAUGAGAAGACAAUCACCCUAUCCUGGUCACCUGGUAGGGAUGUUUCAUUUUAAUUUUUGUUUUCAUUUUUUUUUUAAUUGAAGUGUGGUUGAUUUACAGUGCUGGGUUCAUUUCUUGAUUUGGCUCUUAUUGCCUGAACCUCGUUGUGUUUUGUUCCAUGGCUACUGCUAUUUUGGGUCUGUGAAGUCAUUUCUUAAGUGAGGAAGUGUGGUCAGACACGAGAGCCCACACUCAGGAGCUUCAGCAGCUCUGCUGGCGAACAAGACACACAGAGCUUAUCCAGUCUCCCCCUUUGCUUUCCAGGAGGCAUCUGAGCUGAUUUCAAGGGUGAUAUGACAGGGUAGGGUGGGACCUUUGUGCUGGUCUCUGGGGCCACUUGGCAGACUUUCUGAAUAGGCAGGUCAGGACCCCAGGUGGCAGGAAGGUACUCUGCCAGCUUGAAGCACUAAGCCUGGAGGAGAAGGCACAAUGGUUCUGAAUAUCUCUGCAGCUAUCAGCCAACGUGGGCUUGUGACGCUCUCCAACCUCUGCCUGGGCAGGAAUUGGUUUCCCUGACCUUAAAGAUUGCUCAUCAACUGUCCCCACAACAGGGCAUCCAUUCUAACCUCAGGCCCCAGACACAUAAGCAGGGCAUCUCCAGCAAGCCCAUGCCGGCCCGCCCCCCUCCCCUCCUUCCUGCUCCUGCUAUAAUUGGGAAAAUGUUUUCCUGUCUUAGAAAUGCAUGGGCACAGAAGAUGAAUGAGGACUGAGGGCUAAACCCACGAUUCCUAUUCUACUCGACCCUGUUGUUUAUUUUCCACAGAAACUAAAUAAUGGAUCUAAACUGUUUGCUGUUAUUUUAAGGAGCUGCUGAUGCAUGAUAGACAUCUUCGGAAACUUCUAUUUAGAUUCAUGAUUCUGCUUCAAAUACAACCAUUGUCUCCCCUCUUCCCCCUCCCUUACUUUUUUUUUUUUCUUUUGCAAGAUGUUUGCAAGGGAAAAGGGCCCUUGUGUAGCCAGGAGUUUCAGCAAUGUUUUCCUUCAUCUUCAAGUGGAGUCAACCAGCUUUGGGCUGGUACCCUGUUGAUGAUGUCAGGACACGAACUUCAUAGUCACCAGUCCCAUCCCUAAUUCCAGGGGCUCGAGUGCUCUGAUAGCACCCGUUUGUCUCUUUAUGCCCUGGAUGCAUGAGCGCCGAGGAGAGACUUAGCCGUAAUGAUACAGGCAUUGAUGACAGAGUUAAAAUUCUUAUCGUUUGAUUUGAUUCUUAUGAUUCUUGAUUCUUAUUACUUUGGGUUUAACAGUCAGACCAUGAACAUAAGGAUGGAGACUCCAAAGGAAAAAAUAUAUAUAUAUAUUGAAUUC